ACCAGUUGGAAACGACUGUUAAUACCGCAUAAUGUCUACGGACCAAAGUGUGGGACCUUCGGGCCACAUGCUAUCGGAUGCGCCUACGUGGGAUUAGCUAGUUGGUGAGGUAAUGGCUCACCAAGGCGACGAUCUCUAGCUGGUUUGAGAGGAUGAUCAGCCACACUGGAACUGAGACACGGUCCAGACUCCUACGGGAGGCAGCAGUGGGGAAUAUUGGACAAUGGGCGCAAGCCUGAUCCAGCCAUGCCGCGUGUGUGAAGAAGGCCUUCGGGUUGUAAAGCACUUUCAGCGAGGAGGAAGGGUUGUGUGUUAAUAGUACACAGCCUUGACGUUACUCGCAGAAGAAGCACCGGCUAACUCUGUGCCAGCAGCCGCGGUAAUACAGAGGGUGCAAGCGUUAAUCGGAAUUACUGGGCGUAAAGCGCACGUAGGCG
rnacentral:rRNA from 1 species